rnacentral:lncRNA from 1 species
AACAGAACACAGACCAUCCCCAACAGAACACAGACCAUCCCCAACAGAACACAGACCAUCCCCAACAGAACACAGACCAUCCCCAACAGAACACAGACCAUCCCCAACAGAACACAGACCAACCCCAACAGAACACAGACCAACCCCAACAGAACACAGACCAUCCUCAACGGAACACAGACCAUCAGUGAAGAGUACACAGCAUAAAAUAAUGAAGGAUCUCAAUUGCGUUUCCUUGGUUCCUUGCAUCCUCUCUCCUCGCCUCUUUUUCAAAACCCAUUGGAUUAGUUUAAAUUUAUUUUAUUUUUUAUUUAACCUUUAUUUAACUAGGCAAGUCAGUUAAGAACACAUUAUUAUUUUACAAUGACGGCCUACACCAUCAAAUCCCUCCCCUAACCCAGACGACGCUGGGCCAAUUGUGCGUCGCCCUAUGGGACUCCCAAUCCCGGCCGGUUGUGAUACAGCCUGGAUUCGACCCAGGGACUGUAGUGAAGCCUCUAGCACUGAAAUGCAGUGCCUUAGAUUGAUGCGCCACUCGGGAACCCGAGAAGGUGCGUCACUUGCCACCAACAGAUGGUGGCGAGGAACGAUGACAAGAGCAAUUAAUUAAUCAAUUAAGGAAAUGCUAUUUAAAUUUAAAGGUCAACAGGAGUUCUCCCUAUGAGCACAAGACGUUGAAAAUAUAUUUUUGGGGUUGAAAAGACUUAAAAAGACAUUGAAAAACAAGACAUCUUUCAACCAUAUUUUGCUGGUAUUUCUCUUCCUCAAACACCAAGACAAUACCAUCAUCAUAAUCGAUUCUGUUGAAUGGUUUUCCUUUGAGCCCGUCCAUUGGGUAAACACCUGGUUUAACCAGUACCAUUCCGCAGGUUGUGUCUAUUAAUAUUCAUCAUUGUACAGGUAUAAAAACAUACGUACGCAAGUAUAAAAGCGAUGAUCACUGCCACAACUUCCUCUUUCAACACAGAUCUCAGAUCAACCAACGCAGUAACACAGGUAGGUUACUAAACAUUUAUAUAAUACAGGUCGGUCUUGUUAGUGUUUAUGUCUUUAUAUAUAUAUAUAUAUUACAAUGAGAAGGGAAGGAUACAGGUCGGUCUUGUUAGUGUUUAUAUCUAUAUAUAUAUAUAUAUAUUACAAUGAGAAGGGAAGGAUACAGGUCAGUCUUGUUAGUGUUUAUGUCUUUAUAUAUAUAUAUAUAUAUUACAAUGAGAAGGGAAGGAUACAGGUCAGUCUUGUUAGUGUUUAUGUCUUUAUAUAUAUAUAUUACAAUGAGAAGGGAAGGAUACAGGUCAGUCUUGUUAGUGUUUAUGUCUUUAUAUAUAUAUAUAUUACAAUGAGAAGGGAAGGAUACAGGUCAGUCUUGUUAGUGUUCAUGUCUUUAUAUCAGGUCAUUAUAUUAAUACAAUUAUAAUGAGUUGAUGCAUGUACAGGGAGGAAAUUGUAUUUCAAAAAAAAAUUAUUGAUAGUAGUUACAGUCUUGUCUCAUCACUAUAACUUCUGUACGGACUCAGGAGAGGCAAAGUGGAGAGCCAUGCGUCCUCCGAAACACAACCCAACCAAGCCGCACUGCUUCUUGACACAACACACAGACAACACAGAAGCCAGCCACACCAAUGUGACACCAUACACCUGGCGACCGUGUCAGCAUGCACUGCACCCAGCCCGCCACAGGAGUCACUAGUGUGCAAUGAGACAAGGACAUCCCUGCCAGCCAAACCCUCCCCUAACCCAGACGACACUGGGCCAAUUGUGCACCGCCCCAUCGGCCUCCCAGUUACGGCCGGCUGCAACAGAGCCUGGGCUCAAACCCAGAAUCUCUGGUGGCACAGCUAGCACUGCAAUGCAGUGCCUUAGACCACUGCGCCACCCAGGAGGCCCAUCAGUUCUUGAAUGAAUUGUUUUCACUUGUGUCUGCCAGUCACUUCUAAUUGGAGAAUAAAUAAACCUACAAGCUGUAGGCUACUAUACAAUCACAACUUACUUUGCAACUAGUUGGAAACAACUUAACUCAUUGAGUGCCAUUGGAACUGACAAUACAGUAGGCGUGUUGUGUCUGUUUUACAAGCCGAAGACAGAAGAAAGGUGCUGGUGUAUCUUGUAGUAUUUUGUUGUUUAUUAAAAACCCUGCAACCUACCUGUUAUUGUCAACCAUAAAAUAUCAAAUAAUAUUUUUUUAAAUAAUGAUUUCACAGGUCCAAUGGCAGCCAUGGUGAAAUCUGAGCCUCUUGAUGGCAAUGGUGAUUCACUGUCAGAUCAAAAGAGUAAGAAGAUGAAGAUAACUGAGCCUAAUGAUAGCAUGGUC